GACGAACGCUGGCGGCGUGCUUAACACAUGCAAGUCGAACGGAAAGGCCCUGCUUUUGUGGGGUGCUCGAGUGGCGAACGGGUGAGUAACACGUGAGUAACCUGCCCUUGACUUUGGUAUAACUUCAGGAAACUGGGGCUAAUACCGGAUAGGAGCUCCUGCUGCAUUGUGGGGGUUGUAAAGUUUCUGCGGUUGGGGAUGGACUCGCGGCUUAUCAGCUUGUUGGUGGGGUAGUGGCUUACCAAGGCUUUGACGGGUAGCCGGCAUGAGAGGGUGACCGGCCACAUUGGGACUGAGAGACGGCCCAGACUCGUACGGGAGGCAGCAGGGGGGAAUAUUGCACAAUGGGCGGAAGCCUGAUGAAGCAACGCCGCGGGCGGGAUGACGGCCUGCGGGUUGUAAACCGCUUUCGCCUGUGACGAAGCGGGAGUGACGGUAAUGGGUAAAGAAGCACCGGCUAACUACGUG
rnacentral:rRNA from 1 species